CAGGGCCAUAGCAGGUGCCCGUAGCACUGAAGACCACAGCUCCUGCUGGAUAAUGAGUCUCUUAUAGGCAGCCACUCUGACAGGUGGCAUUCUACUUCAGGUGGCCAUUCUCCUGCCUAUUUGAAUGACUCUGUUCCCUUGACCCUUCAAUACUAGACGUGGAAAUGCUGGAGCACACCGGUAAUACAUAGGAAUUGAAAGGAGGAGCAUUCUGACAAUGCUUGGAAAGCCAAUAAGAGUAAAAACGACCCGAAGGACUGGAGGAAAGAUUUCAGAACAAAAGCUUAGCUCCACCGUGAACCUGCCAUCCCUCCUCCAGACUCCACACGGAGGUGAUCUCCUUUACUGUGUUCGAGACUAAGUUCGCAGUCUUUUGAAUUACACAUACAAUUAUUCAGACAUCCAGAAGCAGGGACUUGUUUUCGUUCGCUGUUUUCUUCUUCUCUCAGAUUUCAGGGAGCCUGCUGCUUUAGAGCAGCUUCCACGGGAGAUCUGUUGUCAAGUGACUUUCAUUUCCCCCCUUCUUCUUUGGAGCUGGAGAAAAGACUUUCAUAUCUAUCAUUUCUGCCUGCAUUACAGCCCUGCUAAUGCUGUGCUGACCCCGCUGCUGGGGCCAUUAAUGUGUGUCACUGUUAAUUAGCAGCCAAUGGAAUAGCCAAGCCAGCGACAUGGUUCACUGAGAUGGAUGUGGUUGUUUUGAUUGCAUUGCUAUUGCUAGGGUAACUAUCAUUUGUACUAAUGAUUUCCAAGUAGGUAGCAAAAGGGUAGGAGGGAAAUGACUUAAUUUGAUUCUUUUCCCCCCACUAUCUCUAAGAGCAAUUUUAGUGGUGAAAACGCUCUGUGAGGCAACAGCUCCCGAAUUCGUUGAGGUCUUUGGAAAGACAGAUUGUUAUUAACUGACCGUAUCGGGAUAGGGAGUGCCGGCGAUUAUGUAUACGGGAUAAUCUUCCCCGAGUGGAGAGGACAUACCUGCCCUCUGAUGGACUGCAAAUGGCCCCUGUAGACACAAUCAUCCGGCAGACAGAAGGGUCGCCCAUUGCGGUUGCCCAUUCUAAUGACACCGAGAAGUGGAAAGUGAAGUUGAAAGUGAACACAAAGUAGUAGGGGGUAUGUUGCUUGUAGGAAGAGGAAAAAUGUAGCGUGUCUC
ensembl:lncRNA